CUAGCCUACAGUUAUGAAGCCAAGAGACAGUGGGCUGAAAAUUAUGAAGCCAUGCUGAAGUAAAGCUUUCUUUAAGUCAUCUUUCCCAGCCAUGGAGUCCCUGUUCUGCACCACACGAUGUGGUUGGGGCUAGUCCGCCUAAAAUAGACCAGAACAUCCUUUGCAAAAAGCUGCCUGAAAUUAAACCCACGGGGACUCGUGACGUUCAGUUGAAUGGACACAGGGAAUUGCCAGCAGCCACUGGGGAGGAAGCAGCAAUUAUUAUUUGUUCAUCUGUUCUCCGAGGAAAAAUAACACAGGAAGAUCUCUUCUCGUUCUCCUCUUCAUUUCCAGUGCAUCUGACAGGGCCUAGCUGAGCGUAGAGACGCUGAAAGUUAAUAGACACUCUGUGGACUCCUAUAGUGGAACCUAGCUCCACCAUUGUAAACCAGGAAAUGCAGAGCGUACAGAACACACAGAAACAGAAGACAGCAGGCGGGAAGAGCAUCACUUUUAUUGCAGGGAGUUAACAAGUCAGAAACGGAAGGAAGUGAAGACUACCGAGCGCAGACCCUCUGUGGGGUCCACAUGGCCACACCUAGGCCACUCUUCUCCCUAUUGUCAUGGAAUAAGUAGCAUUGCCAGGCUGUCUGGCAGCAAAUACCACCCCU